GGGAGGUGGGUCAGUUAUCAAGGUGAGGAGAAUGGAUGUCCAGCAGGUAAAAACAUGUUGUGGAGAGCCAGCAUAGAGGAGUGCCAUGAAAACUGAGGCAGGGGAUCAGCAUGGAGUGUCGUCUGCAUCUCCCGGAGAAGUCUCCUCCCAAACACGCCUUCCUCAACCUGCCCAGACAGUCAAGCAUCAUUGCUGCUCCACUGAGUUACGCACAUGCCUUCUAACAAGCCUGUCUUCUAGAUUUGCACAGAAUCAAAAGAGAGGAAACAAUGAAAGAAAAAACCUCGCCUUGUU